AGAGUUUGAUCAUGGCUCAGGAUGAACGCUAGCUACAGGCUUAACACAUGCAAGUCGAGGGGAAACGACAUCGAAAGCUUGCUUUUGAUGGUCGUCGACCGGCGCACGGGUGAGUAACGCGUAUCCAACCUGCCCAUCACUUGGGGAUAACCUUGCGAAAGUAAGACUAAUACCCAAUGAUAUCUCUAGAAGACAUCUGAAAGAGAUUAAAGAUUUAUCGGUGAUGGAUGGGGAUGCGUCUGAUUAGCUUGUUGGCGGGGUAACGGGCCCACCAAGGCAACGAUCAGUAGGGGUUCGUGAGAGGAAGGUCCCCCACCAUUGGAACUGAGACGCGGUCCAAACUCCAACGGGAGGGCAGCA
rnacentral:rRNA from 1 species